rnacentral:misc_RNA from 1 species
UACGUAGCGGGCGAGCGGUGUCCGGAAUUAUUGGGCGUAGAGCGCGUGUAGGCGGCCCGUUAAGUCGACUGUGAAAUCUCUGGGCUCAACCCAGAAACUGCAGCCGAUACUGGCGGGCUUGAGGUAGCUAGAGGAGAGUGGAAUUCCCGGUGUAGCGGUGGAAUGCGCAGAUAUCGGGAGGAACACCAAUGGCGAAGGUAGCUCUCUGGAGCUUACCUGACACUGAGACGCGAAAGCAUGGGUAGCAAACAGG